CCCUAGCCCCGAUGGAAGUGGCAUCCUUUUUUGCCAGCGAAACUUUGGGUUUCGGGAAGAUAUUUGUGGCAAAAAAGAUAUAACGGACAGCGGGAAAAAGC
rnacentral:sRNA from 1 species